rnacentral:sRNA from 1 species
GCCAGGUGUGGUGGUGCACACCUGUAAUCCCAGCAGCUCCCAGUGAGUGGCUUGGGAGGCUGAGACAGGAGGAUCAAAGCCUGGAGUUCAAAGCCAGUCUCAGUAAAAGCAAGGUGCUGAGCAACUCAGUGAGACCCUGUCUCUA